ensembl:lncRNA
CUGGGGUGAAAUGAUCCUGUUAUAGUGAAAAUUGUGCCAUCUGCGACAGUUUAAUGUUAUGACCUUGUGUUUCUUUGUCACAGUCUGUCUCUGUAUGUGUGUGUGUGCUCCAUUAAUCUAGCAAAUAAAAACCCUCUCCAUGUGUUUUAAACAGGUUUUUUAUUUUUUAUCUCAGGUUCAGAUAUUGAGCAGCAAGCCUUUGACGGUAUUAAUACAUCGCUCGCGAUUGAUCCAGACAGCGCCGCCGCUGGUAAAACAAGAUCCAUCUCCAACAUUUUUUAUGAGAAAUAAAAAUUUUAGAUUUUUUUUUGUUUAUGAUAAAUAAUUUUUUUUUUUUUUUUAGAUUUCAUACAAUUUAUCACCCAACCCGGCUUCCAGACAGUUAUCGAUCUCACGCAAGAUGGCGACGAAGAUCCCACCGUCAACGUAACAGACAAACCUCACAUCCUACCUGAUUCCACUCCGGCGCACGUCGAGAAUCCAAUAGGAUCCUGCGGCGAACCACUUCCUGGACCCAGCGACGAACCAGCAAGAAAGAAGCCUAGAAAAACAAAUCGUCCCACCUCGCCGGUAAUCCUGGACCAGACGGCGAACCACCAAGAAAGACUUAUCGUUUUACUCCGGCGAUCAGUCCUGAGAGCUCUCCAGAGAGGAAAACUCUUUGUCUGACACCACCGAACAGCCCGGCGACCAGUCCUGAGACCGAGCUAUGGUAAGACUAUCCACAUUAUUUGCAUUUAAACUCCGACGGAGUCAAACUAUUAAGAUUUUUAUUUUUACACCCAGCAGACUCGAGUAGAAGCCAUAAGG